rnacentral:rRNA from 1 species
GACGAACGCUGGCGGCGUGCUUAACACAUGCAAGUCGAACGGAAAGGCCCUGCUUUUGUGGGGUGCUCGAGUGGCGAACGGGUGAGUAACACGUGAGUAACCUGCCCUUGACUUUGGGAUAACUGCUGGAAACUGGGGCUAAUACCGGAUAGGAGCACCUGCUGCAUGGUGGGGGUCGGAAAGGUUCGGCGGUUGGGGAUGGACUCGCGGCUUAUCAGCUUGUUGGUGGGGUAGUGGCUUACCAAGGCUAUGACGGGUAGCCGGCCUGAGAGGGUGACCGGCCACAUUGGGACUGAGAUACGGCCCAGACUCCUACGGGAGGCAGCAGUGGGGAAUAUUGCACAAUGGGCGGAAGCCUGAUGCAGCAACGCCGCGUGCGGGAUGACGGCCUUCGGGUUGUAAACCGCUUUCGGCUGGGAAGAAGCGAGAGUGACGGUAAUGGCUGAAGAAGCACCGGCUAACUACGUG